GUAAUUCCAGCUCCAAUAGCGUAUAUUAAAGUUGUUGCAGUUAAAAAGCUCGUAGUUGAACCUUGGGUCUGGCUGGCCGGUCCGCCUCACCGCGAGUACUGGUCCGGCUGGACCUUUCCUUCUGGGGAAUCUCAUGGCCUUCACUGGCUGUGGGGGGAACCAGGACUUUUACUGUGAAAAAAUUAGAGUGUUCAAAGCAGGCCUUUGCUCGAAUACAUUAGCAUGGAAUAAUAGAAUAGGACGUGCGGUUCUAUUUUGUUGGUUUCUAGGACCGCCGUAAUGAUUAAUAUGGAUAGUCGGGGGCGUCAGUAUUCAGCUGUCAGAGGUGAAAUUCUUGGAUUUGCUGAAGACUAACUACUGCGAAAGCAUUCGCCAAGGAUGUUUUCAUUAAUCAGGGAACGAAAGUUAGGGGAUCGAAGACGAUCAGAUAC
rnacentral:rRNA from 1 species